GGAGGGUGCGAGCGUUGUCCGGAAUCACUGGGCGUAAAGGGCGCGUAGGCGGCUCGGUAAGUUGUUGGUGAAAUCCCGGGGCUCAACUCCGGGGCUGCCAGCAAGACUGUCGGACUUGAGCACGGUAGGGGCAGAUGGAAUUCCCGGUGUAGCGGUGGAAUGCGUAGAGAUCGGGAAGAAUACCAGUGGCGAAGGCGUUCUGCUGGGCCGUUGCUGACGCUGAUGCGCGACAGCGUGGGGAGCAAACAGGAUUAGAUACCCUGGUAGUCCACGCCGUAAACGAUGGACACUAGGCGUCGGGGGGAGCGACCCUCCCGGUGCCGUCGCUAACGCAGUAAGUGUCCCGCCUGGGGAGUACGGCCGCAAGGCUG
rnacentral:rRNA from 1 species